rnacentral:lncRNA from 1 species
UAAAAUCUAAUCAUGAUCCUGUCAUCUCUAUGGCGAUGCUUGGUCCUAGAACAAGAAUACCUAAGUGGCCUGUGUAGGUUGGUAUCGAUGAAAAAGGGAACUAGAAGAGUUGUAGUCGUUUGUUUGUUUGUUUGUUUGUUUGUUUGUUUGUUUGACUGUGUAGCAUGGUAGGCCAUAAGAGAGGAAUUACAUUUUCUCUGGGUUUUAUGUGAUAUACAAUCAAAUAGACCUGGGACUCAGCUCUAAGGUAACAUCAGAAUCUGAUAAGGUGUCAGGACUAUAAUACAAUCCCGAUUAGCAUUUGGAAACAGAAAAAAAAACAAGAAAAAAAAAAGGAAAAAGUAAGUAGGUUUUUGUUUUCUUUGAUAGUGUAUGUAAGUUUUAUUCCCUCAGGAGACACAAUAACUAAGCCAAGAAAUCAAAGAAAGCUUCUAAUCAGAAAAUGUGGAUGUACAGCAGACAGAUGGAUUGGCUGGAGACAUAGGAAGAAGCACGAAGCAAUAACCUACAGAAUGCAAACUACUUAAAGCUUCCUCCUCAUGAUUCCUAAGAUUCAAUAAUCGUCUGCCUCCAACUCAAAAGAGAACAUGGCCAAUCAAAUAUUUAUGAAACUAUGUUUUAUAAAGUUGUAUAUUUAAAGACUUAUAAUGUUGAAAGUAAAAGUAUCUGAAGAAAACAUGAGCCUAAAACACUGAAAGACAUCACCAACUUCCUAAUCUGAUGGGAUGUGCUAAGGACACGCCUCAAUAUGCUCCCAGAGAGAAGCAACAUGGGAAUUUCCCCUUUAAAGUAUAAUUCUUCUGAUUCCAAUGGGAGGAAAUCUUUCAUAUAUCAAACACUGAAAGCAAACAAAAAUGAAAUUGAAAAGAGUGUAGUCUGAAAGGAGAAUAUCACCUCCCCUGAAGGACAUAGUAUAGAAACUUGGAACCCAGAUGAAAGCAUUCUAUGGAAGCUGGGAGUCAGGGCCUAGGGGAACUGAAGAUCACUGGCGCCAUUUUGGAUCCUGCCCCUCAUUUCUCAUUCUCCUUCCAGCUCCCCUGAGGGAGUCAGCUCUGCUCUUCCCUAACUCACUAACUCCAUGAUGCUCUCUGCCAUCCGAGCUCCAGAAACACCAGAAUCAACUGAAAAUGAAUUGAAAGUGUUGAACCCCUAAGCAAAAACAAAUCUUCAUAUUUUAAAGUUGGUUUCCUCAGGAAUGUUGUUAUAAUGACAGACACUAGCACAGAGCUAUCAAAAGAGCAAUCAAAAUUUAAUGCUUAAGUAAUUAAAUAAAGAGGGGGCUGGAUAACAGGACAACAAAUUAAAAUAUCAGCAGGUGAAAAAGAGUAGGAUAAACUUGUGAACUUGGCGAACACUGUUUUAGCAGAAAAUGGUAUCAAUCUCAGUUCAGUUUGGAAAAUAUUCUGAAGUAAAAGGGCACUUUUGAAAUAAAAUUAUGUGAUAAGGUGUGGCCUUCCAAACAGAUGUUACUCAGCCUCUAGUUCUUUGUAGAUAAAAGAAUACUUACCAAGGUAUUACCUUGUCAAAUUACAUAUUGGAUUUAACAGUGAUUUGCUCUGGUAGUUGGACUGCUGUAAUGCAGUUCUCUGUGUCUGUUUCGUCAACGUGUGUCAUCAUAACAGCAUUUAAAGAGAUAUACAAUUAUAUAUAUUUGU